rnacentral:lncRNA from 1 species
AAUGCGUCCUGUGAUGCCACCGCCCGUUGCUCCGCGCAUGCCCAUGUACCCCCCUGGUGUUCCUGGAAUGGGCCAACAGCUAUUCUAUGGCCAACCACCUCCAGCUUUUGUUAACCCACAGGUAUGUCAGUAGAGCAAUCUUUUUUCCGUGUGCAUAUGAGUGGCUUAGCUAGCAUCUUACAUAGUAUGCACCAUGACAAUUUAACAGGACAUCUAGUUUGUCUAUCUCACCGUAUUUAAUUUUUUGUCUCUUCUAUGGUAUGAUUUGAGAUUCACCAGUGAUACGAUAAUGCUAUCUUUGGCAAAUUUGAAGCCUGAUUUUAACGUUAGGGGCUAUUCCAGAUUUCCUACAAAGUAGGGAUUUAAUGGUUUCUGAAAUUGGCAGUGACACAAUGAGUUAUUCUGAUUCAGAAAUCUCUGUUUCACUUCUAGGAUUUUUAAUUGGUGAUGCUGGUUCCUUGUCAUUUUGAAUUUUGUACUAUUGAAGCAUUGUUUUUGUUUUGAAACACUUUAUCGUGUGAUAGCUUCGUGCCUUUUCAAUUUUCUGGUCUUACAUGCAAAAGAUACAAAAAAGUUGAUUUCCAAUUGUAACUAAAUCUUCUUUUGUUAAAAUAAGGAAUUAGGAAGCCAAAUAGCUAAAAAUCUAUAGUUUUGGUUUACUAGAACCAUCCGCAUAUUGUUUCAGCUUGGUGGAAACCCAAUUCUUCUCCUCAGGAUCUCUUGAAUGAAAUUAGGGAGCGAAGUAAGUAGAUAUGUUAUGAUGGACAACUGCAUAUUUGGAAAAUGAUGCCAGAUUGUUGGUUAUCAACUGUUGGCUAUUUUUGAUAUCCAAAGGGAAUAAUGUUGUACUCCCUCCGUCCGGAAAUACUUGUCAUCAAAAUGGAUAAAAGGGGAUGUAUCUAGACGUAUUUUAGUUCAAGAUACAUCUCUCUUUAUCCAUUUUGAUGACAAGUAUUUUGGGACGGAGGGAGUACAAGGAAAAUCAGUCAGUUUCCUCCAGGACUAACUUGCUGGAGGAGUUCUCACAUUUUUACAUAAUGUGGCUGUGGUGCAGCAAAUCCUAAACUACAUUAUUUUAGGGCCUAUUCUCAGGGUACGGAAACCAUAGCAUUGGAAUGUCUUGCCCAUUCGAAUCCUACAUGAUUUUAUUUUCUUUAUUGCAUCAUGGGAGAAACAAAAGUUUUUUUCCAAGAUGUUAAGAGCGGAUGCUAGAUUUCCUAUGGAAUGUAGUACAAAUGAUUCCUUGGGAAAAAAUCGUACGAAUGGAACGACCAAUGAAGGAAUUUUUUUAAGGACUUUAAUCCUCCAAAAAUACUAUGAAAAUCCUCUGAAUCAAAGUGGCCCUAGGUUGGUCAGUAGUGAUUAAUUAACUUUUUAGCUAUACUUACUGUUGGAUUGUAAUUAUUUAUUAUUCACAAUAGUGUUUUUUAUGUUUGAGAUUUAAAGUUUCAACCAAGGUUGUCAAAAUUGUGAUCCUCAAUCGGAUCGUAGGUGUUCCCAUAGAAUCGCAAAUCAUAGAAUUGGCAUAGGUCCUAAGAUUCUACCUGCUUUAAAAAGUUACUUUUUUGUAAUUUCCCAUUUGUUUAAAUGGUUGCAUGAGUGUUUAUGUGACCAGUUAGAACCUAUUUUGAUUAAUUAGUGUCAGUCCUUCUACAUGAAUAUGUUGUCUAUAUAAGAUUGGCAUACACGUUAAGGAAAAAUAUGUACCAACAUGUUCUGAACAUCAAAUUAAAAGUGGCAUACUGACAUGUCCAAAAGCUAACAAAGGGCAUCCAAUCCAAGUUUUUGAGCAACAAAGGUUUAACGUACUAGAAAUAGAAGACAACUUUAGUACGAGUCGUCUAUUGAUAUCCUUGUACUCGUUCAUGGGUGGUACUGCAGUACUAGAACUCCCAACACAGUACGCGGAAGGUCCUGAAUUGUUGCCGCCAAGACCACGUUCGUCGUUGACAUUGUUGUGUUCACAGUCAGUAUCGUCAUAAUUAUAUGCAUCAAGAUCUUGAUCUAACCCAAGAUCACCAUCUCCUACAAAAAUUCCAAAAUAAUAGUCAGUAACGAUGUAAAAGGAACAAGAAUAAUUAACUUGCUUCAUCAAAAGAACUUCUCAUACAUGCUUCAGCUAGGCGACUAACAAUAUUUUCUACAUCAUUUUCAAUGUCACUUUCAUCUUCUUUGUCCAUAGCAGCUUCACUACGAGCAAUGCUAUUAAAAGAAUGCAACCAGUCCUUUUGUGGAGGAAGGUCAUGUUCUUCUUUUUCAGUUAUGCAUUCAUCAUCAGAAGAGACAUCGUCAAUGUCAUAUUCCACAACUUGUCUUUGUCUUCUGCAGUCUGCUCAUCAGUUGUACAUGACAAGGACUAAAUCAAUUAUCUUAUCUUAGUGCAGACGAUUUCUUCUCUUUGAGUGAACCUACACAAGUUUGAGAACUUAGCAUUGCUACACGUGUUAUAUAAUAUUUCCUAGAGAACACAUGACAUUGAUUCUUACUUGCUCAAAUGCACUCCAGUUCCGUUCACAACCUGACGAACUAGAAGUUAAGCUAAGAACUCUAAUUGCAAACCUCUGCAACUCUGGGCAAUCAUCUCCUGGCGAGUCCCACCAAUAAGCUGGCUUUUUUUUAGUAAUUGUCAUAAUAGCCAUUGCAUUCCAAAUAGGCCCCCGGCAUCCUGAAUGAAUCAAUCUGCAGUUCUAUCUUAACUCUUUCAUCUAAAUCAGGAACCAUCUUUUCAAGCAUGCAGAGAUAUAUGGAGCUGUGUAAGCCAUCUUUCAUUGAUGAUACUCCCUCUGUUCCAUAUUAGUUAUCGCUGAUUCUGAUUCAGUACAAAGUUGUACUAAAUCAGCGACAACUUAUAUGGAACGGAGGGAGUAUUAAGUAUUGGUGUGUAGCUGAUCAAAAUAAAAUUUCAAAUGGUCAAAGUUAACUAAAACAAGGUUAAUAUAGCAUAUCUUGAAGCCACAUUUAUGAGUUACGGAGUCAGUAUAGUAACAUACCUUUUCUUGACAUUGUUAAAAUUUUGUUUUAUUUAUCUUUUGCAUGAUCCAUCUCAUCAUACAUCAGCGGCAUUACUGGCUUCUUGUCCGAACCCACCAAUCGAAGAACUUUUGUAAUUGGGAGUGCAGCCUUGAGACAUGAGGCAACAUUAGGCCAAAACCCACUGCUAUCCAGAACAAUUUCUUCAAAAAUCCUCCCUUACGCAGAAUUAAAUCUGCUACUACUCCACUUUGUUGAAGUGAACAUAUUGAUCACUGCGCCCUUGUGCUCAUGCAAACAACCCAAAGUUAAAAAGGCAGUAGCAAAUUUUGUCACUGCUGGCCUAAUUAAAUCCUGCCCUCCUGUGAAUUCUCUCAACCAAGUAAGAACCAUUGUUCUAGAAUAAAUGUAAGUAGUAAUUUUUUGGCCCUUUGUAAUUGUUGUCUGAUGCAUCGUAAUCUUCUCAAAAUCCUAAGAAUUAAAUCAAUACAAUGAGCUGCACAUGGAGUCCAUUUUUUCUUCUCUUUUUUACAUCAACAAUUCACCAGCUGCCAUAUGGUUAGCGCCAUUAUGUGUUACAUCUUGAACAACAUUAUCUUAUCUUACUUCCUCAACAGUAUCAUCAAAAAUUUUAAAUACUUGGUUGGCUAUCUUAGAAAUGUUAGAAUUAUCGACUGAGGCAAGAAAGACUGCACCUUUUGGGCUGUUCACUAAAAAGUUGCAUAUGGACUUUUUCUUUUUAUCUGUCCAGCCAUCAGACAUAAUUGUACAUCCUGUCCUCUUCCACUCUUCUUUGAAUUCAGAGAGCAAAUUCAUUGUUCUCUCAACCUCCAGCUUGAGAGAUUUUACCCUCACUUCAUGAUAUGAUGGAGAUUUAAAACCUUUGCCGAAGUUUCCAAUCAUUCCAGUCAUCUUUAUCCAUUCUGGAUCCUUGACAACAUUAAAUGAGAUAGGAUUGUUAUUGAAGACCCGACAAAUUUGAGCACAAACCUCUUCUCACUCUUCUUUUUUGUAAAAUCGGUUCACUUUUGUUUGAGCUCUUGUGCUUGUUAGUGAAUUGAUUUGUCCCAGCUUCAUCUUCAUUGUUCUCAGCAGGAGUAUUCCUUCGAACAUCAUUCUUCCAUUUCUAUGUUAAACUUCCUCUUCUUUGCAUCAUUUUUUUUUCUGCUUGGAUCCCCAGAUUUUUGAGAUUUUUUUUUCGAACAUCAUCCGGAACUUUUUCGCAAGGCUCGACAUUAAAACCUUGUCCCAGCCAAGUGAUGCUUCAGUCCGUAGACACCUCCUUCAUAUUAUUGGCAACAUAUUUUUUGGUUUCUGGUUGCUUCAUAGGUUCACUGAUCAGUGUUGAGGUAAUUUUACUGUGGACUUGUCCUUUUGCUCACAGCAUGGAAUGUGAUGUUACUAGCCCCUUGGUUCCUAUAAAUAACGAAAACAGCAUAUAUCGUAUCAUCAGAUACAAAAUAAUAAUAAUCAAUCAAAAGCCUACUUUAUUUUGUGGUGUGAUUUCAUGUGGGGCACCGCUAACCUGCGCCGGAGGAGGCCCAUAGUAGCUGCACCACCGAAGGUAGGUGCUUCAUCAGGGCGUGGAACACAAGGAAUCCAUUCUAAUACUAUCUAGUCGUUAGUAAAUAUAUAAGAUUAGCGGCCCAGGACGGAUCUCGGUUCCCCGGCGACCUGGUGAAAAAUCAGGCAACUUCCCAUUAAUCCAGCGAUCCUCCCAAAACAGGGCCAGCCGACCGUCCCCGACUGUCAUUGGAUUCAUAGGAGGUCCCCGACUGGCGAUAUAAUGAAUUAACUUAUGCUUAAGAAAAUUUCAUUCAUGUUGCAAAUAUUCUGUUAUUUUAUUCAUUCUCACUUGGAUGAUAAUUUUUAAUAUGCUCUCUUUCUGUAGCCUGGAUUUGGUUUCCAGCAACAUAUGAUUCCUGGAAUGAGACCUGGUGUUGCUCCAAUGCCAAAUUUCGUCAUGCCAAUGGUGCAGCAAGGUCAGCAACCACAACGCCCAUCUGGAAGGCGCGCAGGUGCUGGUGGAAUGCAACAGCCAAUGCCAAUGGGUCAUCAGCAGGUAAUAGUUCUUCCUUUCCUUCCAAAGGAAUGUGGCCUUUAUUUUCUGCCUCCAUGCCUGAACAGCUGAGUUAAACAUUUUUCGCUGCAGAUGGUUCCGAGGGGUGGCCGUGGUGGUUACCGUUAUGCGUCUGGCCGUGGCAUGCCUGAUGCUGCAUUCCGUGGUGUUGGAGCUAUGGGGCCAUCGCUGUAUGAGAUGGGAAGGAUGACUCCUGGUGACACUGGAGCACCGCAGCAAGUUUCUAGUGGAGCAUUAGCAUCUGCACUUGCUAACUCUCCGCCGGAGCAGCAACGAUUGGUUAGUUUUUUUUAUUGCCUUCUCCGCAUCAAGUGAUGAGGCAUUAUGAACUCGGACAAUAACUUGUAAUUUGUGCAGAUGCUUGGUGAAAGCUUGUAUCCACUUGUUGAUCAGCUGGAGCAUGACCAGGCUGCCAAGGUUACCGGUAUGCUUCUGGAGAUGGACCAGACUGAGGUUCUUCAUCUAAUUGAGUCACCUGAUGCUCUGAAGUCUAAGGUCGCUGAAGCUAUGGAGGUUCUCCGCAGUGCUCAGCAGCAGCAGACCAAUGUUCCAGCUGAUCAGCUGGCUGCUCUUUCGCUGAGCGAUGGCUUUGUUGCUUCUUAGUUGGAAUGCUGCUUGUUUCUGGUUUCUGUAUGUGCUUGGUGCUUCAGACCUGGAAGUGUCUAGUUUUACUCAAAUAGAUUUAACUAUGGAUUUCAACAUUGUACUCUUUAUAUUUGUUUAAAUAUUGAGAUUGAAAAAUGAUAUAUUUGUGGAUUUCUGUUUGUCCUAGGUGCUGCUUGUUUAAUUUUGGAAAAUGAUUUGCUUGUGCCUGCUGAAG